AGAAGCCGCCCGAGGGUCCUCUCUCCCUGGGCCUGCCUCAGAUUUCGGGUCUGGGAGCUGGCUACCUGGCGCACCCUGCUCCCUCUCUGGCACUCCUGGCUUGUGAGGAUUACAGGUCCCAUGCCCAUAGUCUGACAGAUCCCUUCUAUGCGGCUCAGCUGAUCUUAAAUAUCUAGAGGAUGUAUAGGUUGUUAAAGUAGUUCCUUGGGCCUUUUCAGAGAUCCCUUUUGGUUUAAAGGGGACACCUAAAGUAUUUUACCAAGCUGAGCAAUUGUUGAGGUUUUCCCAAACUGAUCAGAGCCACUGAGGUGGGUAAUGUUCUAUCACUAUCCAGUCCUGGAGUGGCUGCUAGAUUGCUACUAGCCCUACUGGGGGACCCAAGUGGUUUCCGGACACAUUGGAGUCACAUGUGGUGUCCAACAACGCCAUAUAUAGGAACACAGGACACCAAACUGGAGAUGUUUGUAAAGUAACUUAAGAGAGUAAUUCAUACUCUACCGAGACCAGCUCAGCGUAGAGAAGCCCACCUAGGCGGCGCUGAAGGCAUUAAGAAGCAGACGCCCAGAUAGAAUAGCAAAGCGAGUCCAUAGGGGGCCGACAGCCCUCCAAGCUGAGCGCCUCAUGGGGUUGACAGCAUUCCGGACUGAGGGCCUCGAACAGAUUUUGACCCACGUAUUUAUUCUCUCUGAACAGGAAGUUAAUAAAAACAGAUGAAUCUAUAGUGGACAGAGCCAAGGCCAAUGCCUCUCUUUGGGAGGCCAGGUUGGAAGUCACAGAACUCUCUAGGAUUGAGUAUCGUGAUACUUCACGGAUACUGGCAAAAAAUAAUGAGGACUUAAAGAAACAGCAGUAUAAAAUGGAGAAAGACACAAUGUCUGUAUUAAGUUACCUGAAGAAGCAGGAUCAGGAGAAAGAUAAUAUGAUUGAAAAACUGAAACAGCAAUUAAAAGAAACAAAGGAAGAAGCCCAAGAGGAGAAGGAAAAAUUGGAACAAAAGUAUACCAGGCAAAUCAAUGAACUAGAGGGACAGUUUCAUCAAAAAGCCAAAGAAAUUGGCAUGAUUCACACAGAGCUGAAAACAGUAAGACAAUUCCAGAAGAGAAAAAUGCAAGUGGAGAGAGAGUUAGAUGAUAUGGAGUUUCACUCUUGUUGCCUAGGCUGGAGUGCAAUGGUGCAAUCUCGGCUUACUGCAGCUUCUACCUCCUGGGUUCAAGCGAUUCUCCUGUCUCAGCCUCCCGAGCAGCUGGAAUUACAGCUGAAGGACAAUUUAAGAAACACAGAGCAGAUACAUCAGGAGACUCUUAGAAGACUGGAAAGCAAAUUUUUUGAAGAAAAGCACCGACUAGAGCAAGAGGCUGAAAAGAAGAUAGUAAUGCUGGCAGAGAGAGCCCACCAUGAGGCUAUUGUGCAAUUGAACGAUGCUGGAAGAAAUGUUUUUAAAGAGAAUGUUUAUCUCCAGAAAGCUCUGGCAUAUCACCUGAAGGAAGCUGACGCUCUACAAAAAAACUCCCAGAAGUUGCAAGAGAGUCAUACUUUACUUUUACAUCAAAAGGAGAUCAAUGAUCUGUUGGUUAAGGAAAAGAUUAUGCAACUUAUCCAGCAGAGAUCACAAAUCCAAACCCUUCAGAAGAAGGUACUAAGCUUGGAGACUGCUCUGAGUCACAUGACCAAAGAGUUUGAGAGUGAAGUUUUAAAGCUGCAGCAACAAGCAAUGAUAGAGAACCGAGCGAGUCAGGUAGAAAUUGAUAAGCUGCAGCACCUUCUUCAGAUGAAGGACAGGGAAAUGAAUCAUGUGAAGAAGCUGGCCAAGAACAUACUGGAUGAGAGAACAGAAGUGGAAAGAUUCUUUUUAGAUGCUCUACACCAAGUGAAGCAACAGAUCCUAGUUAGCAGGAAGCAUUAUAAGCAGAUAGCACAAGCUGCUUUCAAUUUAAAAAUGAGAGCAGCAUGUGCAGGAAGAACAGAAUAUCCCAAAAUCAGAACAUUUGAUGGCAGAGAGCACAGCACCAAUAGUGUGAAUCAGGAUCUUCUGGAGGCUGAAAAAUGGACACAUAUUGAAGGAAAUGUGGAUAUUGGAGAUUUGACCUGGGAGCAGAAGGAAAAAGUCUUGAGAUUGCUCUUUGCAAAAAUGAAUGGCUGUGCUUCUAGGAAAUACAACCAGAGUUCUAGGCCUCCAGUUCCGGAUUAUGUUGUUUCUGACAGUGGAGAAACAAAGGAAUUUGGGGAUGAAAGUAAGCUUCAAGAUCAAACCUUUAUCACCCAGCAAGUUCCGAUAUCAGACUCUUCUGGUAAAGUGGUGCUACCCACUAUUCCAAAAGGAUCUCAAGAGUCUGACACAAUGGAGUCUUGCUCUGUCACCUAGGCUGGAGUUCAGUGGCAUGAUCUCAGCUCACUGCAACCUCUGCCUCCUGGAUCCAAACGAUUCUCCUGCCUCAUCCUCCCACGUAGCUGGGAUAACAGGUAACCUUCUGAGAAGCACUGAUAAUGACCCCACAGAUGCUGCUGGCAGGCCCUUCCUUGCAGAAUCCUUGCUCUUGAAUAUCUUUAAGAAAAUUUCUUAAAGGAAAAGACAACUAUUUUAACUCAAAAGUUACCUGUUUGCCAUAGAAAUUCGUGUCUCCUCUGAAGGAGGAUCGAGAGCCGGUGAAUGAGAACAUUGGCAAAGGCACUGGAAUGGGAACAUUCACUCCCACCUAAAAGAGAACAAAUCCAUGUUGUACCCUAAGGACAAAGGAACUCUCCAUUUAGAAGCACCAGUUUCAAAUACCCACCUUCUUCUCCAUCCUCUACCUCUUGAACUUUCAUUCCUGAGGAAGGAAAUAGGGCACUGUGGGAGGUCAUGGAGGCAAUCUUAAACCAAUGACUCACCAUUAUUUACUGUUUCCUCUUAGGAAAUAGAAAACGGAUAUAAGAAUCUCUUAAAAAUUCUGUUCACAAACCUGUCCAACGUCCACCAGGUGGGCAUAUUUCCGAGCAGUGGCUCCAUUGGUGGUGAAAAUAGCAGUUCCAUUUCCAUAUGGGUUGUUGUUUACAAUCUGGAUGGCUUCAUCCAAUGUUUCUGUCUCCAGAACCACAAGAACUGGACCAAAAAUCUCCUCUUUGUAACAGGUCAUAUUUGGCUGCCAGGAAGGAUGCAUCAAGAAAAGAAGUCAGCCUUUUGGAUUCUGAGUAUUUGAUGUUUAUUUGGUACUUUCACUUACUACACAUCGUUUACAUGGACAACUUUUAUAAUCUCUUUUCAUUUCAAAUCAGCUAUUUUUUAAAAAAAUCCUCUCUUAACCGUGUUUCAUCUUCCAAGCUACCAAUCAUAUAAACAACUUGGAAUUCCUAUCAACCAUAACCACACUUCCUUUAAGGCACUGUAUUUUUAGUUCAUGACCCAUCAUUAACUUCCUUUUUAAUACCUGAACAACUUGUUUUAUCCAAUUGUUAUCAAAAGGUUACAUAAAAAUUUAUUUUUUAUAAAACGAAUAUAUAUUAUACCAGGAGAAUUUUUCUCUUUAUAGAAACCCCAAGCUGUUUUCUGUAACGUAAAUAAUCCAUUCUUAUUCACUCCUUCCUUUGCCUCCCAAAUAUGUCUGUAUGUUUAUAUUUUGAUAUCAGGUCACACUUAGACACUCAAAACAUCAUCACUGCAGCUAAUGUUUGUUGCUGAUAAAUGGAUUUUUCUGUAUGGUUCUGUGGCAAGAGAUUUCAUAAUUUCUGCUACACUUCAACACUUGGUGAUUCACUAUUAUAUAUGAAUUUCAAAAAAAAGCUUCAUAACCUCAAUUUUUAAGUCAUAUUAGCUGAGAGACUUUCAAAGUUUUGAUAAAUAAAAAUUGACAAGUAUUAUUUUCUCAUUUUCAAUAAAUAUUGGGUGGUUUGAUAUAGUGGUUGAGAUAAUGCAGUACUCAUAAGCUAGGCAGCAAGAGGGAGAGGGGAGAGAAAACAUUAACAAACCAGUAUAAAAUAAGAUAGCAUUUGGUAAACUGUAGCCUGUGGGCCCAAAUGUGGCUUGCUGCCUGUUUUUGUACAGCCCCCAAGUUAAAAAUGGUUUCUGCAUUUUUAAAUGGUUGAAAAAUUAUUUAAUCAUAUAUAAACUGACAUGAAAUUCAAA